GGGUCCUUUUCCAGCAUACCCAGAAGCUACAGAGAUGGAGAGAGAGGAACAGAACAAACAAACAAUGCGCUCAUCCACAACAUUGAUAAGCUGUUAUUCGUCCUUCCUGGCUCGGUCGUUGGGGGCUGCCCUCUGAAGUACCAGGAGGCCAGAGAACGUGAGGGAGAUUCCCACCCACCACAAUGCAAUCUGGGCCUCCCCGAAGAUAAGCUGCCCCAAAAAGGCCUGUGGCAAAAUACAGGGAAACAUGUACUUACGGAAGAUAUGAAGUUGGAAGCGGUGGUGGUCACAGUGGUUCGGGUGGAGGAGGAAGAGUACCUGAGAGCCUUAGCGAGGAAUGUCCACAUCACAGCAUUACAAGUGAAGAGCAGCCCCCCACAAAGCAGCCUCAAGGGGAUGUGUAACUGAAACAAACACACAAACACAAUAGACCCCUUUCUGUGUUUGCAAACAUUGCUGCACUAGGGCAACGUACACAAGUUGGUGGGAGAACAAGGAGGAAACAAGGGCAAAAAAGCCUCUAUUUACAUGUUGCUUAUAAGUGCAUUGCACACUACUUUUGGAUUAUAAUCAUAUUUUAAGGCUAGUAUGUAUGUCCUGUUUAAUAUAAUGUUUGUGUCAUCAUCGCAAAUCAACUGCAUUAUACUUUUUUUUUAAACAGCCUAUUUCAAUGAGCGUUAGAAUUCUAGCUAACAACGGCUGAAUCCAAAAUAGUUAUUUUGCAAAGAUAACCAAAUAGAAUCUUUGUGACUAUUCAAGCAAGAGUCUAAACAUAAUUGUAAGCAUAGGAGAACCCCAAAAAGUGACUUUGUUUAUAAGUAAUAAAAACAUAAAUCUAGGCUAUGUUGAACGGGCAUAGAUGGUGAUGGCCUUUUACUGCUGCCAAUAGUAGCACGCAUUUCUACGUGACGUCAGUGUGUCGUGUACUGGAAUGUGGUCUAUAUGUAUGAAAACAAUGUUAUGUGGCAAUUGAGUCACAUCGAAUAGUUGAGCUCCAUUUCAGGGAUUUGGAGCCUAUUUUAGUUAUGUGUCUUGAUAUGUAAAUGUAUGUUAAAUAAAUAUCUGACGGCUUUAUAAAUAAAUAAUAUAGAUGAUAACUCAAACGUAAAAUUAUAACACCACAUUAUGAAGGUCGUUUCAAGCAGCCCAAUUACAAUUUGGUAUUGACAUUGAAUGGACAAUUGCCCAUAUGUUAAACUAGGAUCACAUUCGGCCACUAGAAUAAAAUGAUACUCAACAUAAGCAAAUAUAUUCCUUUAACACAAAAAUAAACGAUGUAAUACUGCACUACUGUAGGUCGCACGAGCUGCAAUGUCGUUCAAGCACGCGGGUAAGACAGGAGCUUGAUACACAGCAUCGCCUGUCCAGCUGAGCGAGCCGCCGAUGAUGCUGCCGAUGGUGCUGGUGCUGAUGCUGAGCGCACGAGCUGGAAUCGGGAGCCUUAAACUCAUCACCGGAAAACCCCAAUUUCCCUUCUCGCAGACGUAUUGCUAUGCUAACACAUUGACAUUUACAUUAUUCAAAGUCACCCGAAUCCCAUCGCGUUAAUAAUUCAGGCACUUAAACGGGGGCGAUUCCUCACCCAGUCACACGCGGUAGUUUCAUCCGGUUGUCUAAAUUUCCGCUGCUCUCCCCAUGUUCGUAGCCCCGUUUCACAUACACCUUUAAGGUAAUCGGCUCCAAGUGACAGCUUUGCAGAUGAAGAUGCGACAGCCCCGAGAAACCCCGCCAGGAGCGCAUAGAAAACGCCGGGGAACAUGUUGACAACCAAGGCACAUAUUUUUCUAAUCCAUCACAUUCCUACGGCGGUAUUGAGUUGAAUGUGUGAGUAAAAUCUAAUCUACAGGCUACUUCCUAACAAUAACCGCCCGGAGAUAGCCACACCAAUCAAAAUACUUGCUCAGCGGGUAGGUGCAGAAAGUGGUUCGAACUCCACGGCUGUGUAGCAUUGUGGGAUGAGUAGUUUCUUCAGCGGCAUCACGUGUUCAGGAAUUCUGUGGAUAUUGGA